rnacentral:rRNA from 1 species
AGCGAACGCUGGCGGCAGGCCUAACACAUGCAAGUCGAACGAACCCUUCGGGGUUAGUGGCGGACGGGUGAGUAACACGUGGGAACGUGCCUUUAGGUUCGGAAUAACUCAGGGAAACUUGUGCUAAUACCGAAUGUGCCCUUCGGGGGAAAGAUUUAUCGCCUUUAGAGCGGCCCGCGUCUGAUUAGCUAGUUGGUGAGGUAAUGGCUCACCAAGGCUACGAUCAGUAGCUGGUCUGAGAGGAUGACCAGCCACAUUGGGACUGAGACACGGCCCAAACUCCUGCGGGAGGCAGCAGUGGGGAAUCUUGCGCAAUGGGCGAAAGCCUGACGCAGCCAUGCCGCGUGGAUGAUGAAGGUCUUAGGAUUGUAAAAUCCUUUCACCGGUGAAGAUAAUGACUGUAGCCGGAGAAGAAGCCCCGGCUAACUUCGUGCCAGCAGCCGCCGUAAUAC